rnacentral:lncRNA from 1 species
AAAAAUGAUAUCACUGCACUCUAUUUCUAGGGCAGUAGGAGAUGUCAGUCAACUUAUUGGUAAGAAAUAGUGUCCACUGUUUGAAGGAUUCAUCCCAAUAUCUGAAAAAAAUCUCUCAGUAUAAUCCCUAAAUCAAACCAUUUUUAUGAGUUAACAUUAAGAGACAUGGUAAUGGGUAGUAAUUGUAUGCUGGCUAUAAAGAUUUAUCAGGAUGGACUAAAUCUAGCACUAUGGGGGGGUGGGACAAAGAAUUCCUGCUUGGGAAAAAUCUUACAUUUUGACACAAUGACAUUACUUCCUAUUUCACUGAAUAUUUUUACAACUUAAAGGAGUUUCUUUUGAAAUCACUGAAUUUUUCUGACAUAAAGGAGAUAUAAAGGUUGAAAAGGAAUUGGAUAAAGGAAAAUGGCACUAAUUUGAAUCCAGUUUUCCAAAGUUUAAGGUAGAACAUUAAAAAUAAAUGGCCACAUUUCUAAAGAUCAUUAAAAAUAAGUGGUCUUUUCUAAUUUGACAUCAUGUAAAUACUUCAAAUGUUUAAUGGUGGCAGAGUACAAGCUAAGUUCUGAGUCAAAUGCUCAAACAGUGUAUUUGUGUCAAAAUGUCAUGUUGGCUCCCAACUUAAGAAGUCUUUAGUGAAAUGCUCUCAGAGCAAAGGGAAGGGGAGAUGUCUUCAGCUGAAUAUAUGCACACUCCCAAGCUGUACUUGAAAUGUUUUACUCUGGGCUCUUCAUGCUGGAGAAGGCAUUCAGAAGAAAAUCGACAAUAUUUUUUUCCUCAGAUGUCUUAUCCUGAAGACUUUGCAUUUUUUAAGCCUCCCCAUCUGUCAGAGCCCAGAGAAAAGAUGGAUUCACUCCAGUAAGUUUUGAAAAAGCCAUUGGCUCUUAAGAAUAAUGAAUAAAAAGAGAAAACAGAAAAAGAGCUGAGAACAAGGUGGGAAGUGAGUUGAGCAUUUACAUCUGCAGUAUAAAGACCUUCAGAAUGUUUUUGGCUUAACGAUAUUGUUUACAUAACAAAUACUUAAGAAGAUUUGGAACCCCUUGGAAUCAUAAGGAUUCCAUUUAGAAACUUCUCAUUUGACCACUAUUCAGUGCAGAUUUAAAUUAAUGCUACUAGACUUAUCUCAUCAACAUGAGCUGCUUAUGAACUAGUAGGUGUUAGAAUGGUGCAGAAAUAAUAAUUAGUAACUGCAGCGUAUUAGGAACCCUCCAGAGAAAUCAUCUCUGACAUUCUUUUGUAAGACCAGGGCUUCUACGAAGCUUUUCUGUAUUGAUUUUGAGAUACUGGAGAACCUGAAAGGGGGUUAAAACUUUUCCAUUUAUGGUAGCCCUAAUCUUCACUGAGAGCCAGCUGGUGCCCUGUAAAACCCUCUGUUACAUUUAGCAUGAAGCUUUAUUACAUAGUUCUUUUAAGCCAAUUAAAAGUUGAUAUUUUGCACCCCCUAUAAUUAAAAUGCAAAUGUAGUGAUGAACUUUAUUUUCAAAAACAGAUUACACAGGUUAAUUAAGAUAAAAACUUACCUAGACCCAGGUUUAUAGAUAAAUAGUAUUUUCAAAGAGCCUACUAACAUGGCAGAAUAUGAAUUCUGAGUCUGUGCUCUGCAUAAUAGAAAGAUCCAUUAUCUAGAUGUCAGAGCCAAGGAAGGAAGUCCUAGUGAUGGAAAACAUAAUUAUCAAAUAGACUCAUUAAAGUAAUGGUAAAGAAAAAGCAAUUCACCAGUUUCUACUUGAAAUGAACAUUUCUAUGGUUCCAUUUUACUUCAGACUUAGAAAAUGCUAGCUUUAAAGAGCACAUAGCCUUCAGAUGGCAUGGAUAAUGAAAAUUACCACAAUGGAUCUAUUUAUGAAAACCAUAAACUUUUGUGCACUUACUCUAUUUUGAUCUGUCCACCCAAGUAAUUAAAGGGGAGCUUCUGGACACACUAGAGACGUUUGGGUCGCAAUUCAGACAUAUAACCACCCUCCCUCCGAGGAAAGGUGAACAAAGCUAAGAAAAGCAAACACUUUAGAAAUGACCUUGCAUUAUUCUUGGUGCUACUGCAAGAAGAUGCAGUUCUAAGGGCAAUGAUGGAAAGGAAUAAAAUGCAACAUUCAUUUUCCACACUGAAAAGCCAAAUAAUGCUUUGUUAUUGGUUUUCCUAAGGAAGCAUUUUCUAGUCUUUGCCACUUAAUCAUAGCUGAACUCUUUGCACAUACAAAACACAAUGUCAUAUUUAAUUUUUAGCCAUUAGAAAGACAGAUACCAUGUAGAUGCUUAAAACAGAAAAGAAACAAUUAUAUAAUAUUUGUGGACCGAGAAAUAAAGUAUUUCUAGAUAUCAUAGAUCAAAUACAAAAAUUAUUUUAAAAACUUAAAGCCAUGACACUGAAGUGAAAAUUUGGGUAUAGAUAAUUAACGUGGAGUUAAAAAAAAGUCAUUUUAGCUACCUUGAAACUAAAACUAUUGCCACAAUAUAAAUUAGGCCAUUAGAAACUGAGUGUGAGAGUUGAACCAGCAUCCACAGCAUGAUAUAGCACCCUGAAACAUCUCAUUAAAUACUUCAAAUUGAUGAAGUGCUUUAACCUCCUUAUGUUUUUAUUUACUGAUUUAAAUUCAGUCCUACAAAGCAGAAAAUGAGACAGAGCACAGCUUAAAGCCUAAAGGAGAGCUAGAAGAGAGAAAACAUUUUGCUGGAUUCUUAAGAAUAUAUUUGUUUCUAAUGCAAGUUGCUUCAGUGGGCUUCCCAGGCAUGGCUUUUCUCAAGAGAAAAUGAAGACUGCAGGUUUCUGUCUCAUUUAGACAUUUACCCUUUUAUUCUCUUACAUAUCAUUUUUCAGAACAAAAUCCCUAAUUUCUUCUACCUUUAUUCUAUAAUUUGAACAUAACAAGAUGUCAAAAAAUUCCAAGCUAAUAAAAUCUGUAUGCUUUUAGCUUAUAAAAUAAUAUAUGAAUUUCCAGCUAUGGUGUUUACCAUUUUCAUUGUACCCUCAGUAUGUUUGUCAUUCUGUAGUGUUCUUAUUAUCUUGUUCACAUAUACAUAUACAUUUUUUUAAGGUGUUACUUUCUGAAAAAGUUUUCUCCUGAGUCUUCUAAACAUUCAUAAGCAUCCCAAGAGUCUUUACUCUCAAGUAUGUGGUUAUUGGCUCUCUUUCUUUGUAAGACUUCAAUCCUUUCUUUGAAUCUUUAGUUCACUGAUCCUUCCCUAUAAUUUUAACCAUGUGUUUCCAGAAGGCUUUAGCUAUGGGGCAUCAAGAUCUGGCCAAAUGUGGGAUCUCUCCAUGGCCAGCUAAUAGACCUUGGUUAUUUAGGAAAUUCAGCCCUUCCUCUGAGGAUAAAACAUAGACUCACAAGUCCAAGUCACAACACCCUUAAAUGAAGGAAAGGCAAAGAUUGUGCCCAUAGGGGUAGCUCAUGCCCUUUCUCUCCUCAGCUGCUUGUCAGGCCCUUUACAGAAGCUGAUGGCAGCAACACAUGGGGAUAUUCCACCAGCCCUGGAACCAAGCAAACCAUCCCUUUGGGAUAAAUAGAGACUUGCCACAGAGCCAGCCUGGCUUCUCCUUCAUUUACUUUCUCUCCGUUGUGACUGCAUAUCCUGUUCUCAGAAACAGUUUAUUUCUCUAAGAGUUCUUUCAGUUCACCACAGGGAAGAUUCCUUGUUUACAUUUUGCUCCAGCCUUAGGGAAGGCUACUUUCCUUGGUUACCAACUACCAUCUCUAUAAAGAAUCAGGAAUCAAUGUCCCGGAUCAUUACUCUAAGAACUAGUUUAGAACUUUUUGGCUCCUUCUGAAGGAGUUCAAGUUUUUCCAUUCACAAAAAAAAAAAGAAAAAAAAAAGAGAAUUAUAACAAGUUCUUCCUAACAGUCUAUUGGAACUGUGAAGGACAGUCCAUCUGCCUGCAUCAUGGAUUAUCUGACUCUACCUGGAAACUCAUCCUGUAGAAAGUCUAAAACACCUUGACAACAGAGACACAUGGAACUUUGAGACACAGUCAAACACUGCACUUAGCAUCCUGUCCCCCUUAAUCACAGCCCAUAAUGGCUCCCUUCACUCUUAUUUCCAUGGAUCACUGUGCUCUACCUUCUGACAUAGACUUCACUUAUCUUCUCCCCCUAAAACUUUAUCCAUUCCUUCCAAAAUCCCCAUUCCAUGGUAAACAAAGCAAAGUAAAACAAAGUGAAACAAAACAGAAUGAACAACGACCACCCUCUUUUCCAUCGCUUCAUUAAACAUUCCCUCCAGUUCCUUGCUUUUGCUGAAAUUUUUUCUUCCUUUCCACUAACCCCAGCUCUCUAAAAAAGAGACAGUGAAGUCACAGGGGCAGGGAGUUCAUGCCUAAGGAAGGGGUUAGCAUUCUGCUGGUUCCCAGCUCCACCCCCUCCAAAGACCUGGCACUUCAGAGCUCUUACUCCUCGACCCUCUGGUGGAUGGAGCCAGCCUUCUCUGAUAGCAUGCUAUUCAACAAUGGUAAUCCAGAAUCAUGCACCAGCCUCUGGGUCACUUUUCCAAAUUUAUCAGCACCAUGCCUGUGGCCUUCCCCUCCACUCAAAUUCUUGUCCAUAUUCUGAGUUAGUUCAAUACUUUCUCAUGUAGGAGAUUAAUCCAAGUGCUUGCUUCAUAGUUUCUUGAGAUUUUUGACUCUGGUAACCUUUGUAUUUACUUUGCUUCAUAUCUUCACACCCCAAAUUCCACUUAGGACUUUGUAAUCACAUGGAACUACAACACCAUCUCUGAAGUUUUCAGCUGUAAAUUCCAAUUUGCACUAAUCUCUGUCCUUCUAUUUUCUCAUUUAUUUAUUUCUACUACAACUAUAAGUGGGCCCAUAAACCUCUAGUUCCUUAUCUCCCUACCUUUCCUUAAUUAAGAACUAGAUUCCACUUUCCUUCCUAACCAAUCUAGAAGCACCAACCAGAAGGCAGCUCUUGCUGACAUUAGUUUUCUUUCUUCUUUCCCUUCUAACAGCCGUGCUUUGAGAAAAGCUCCAACCUGGAGCUGGAACAUC